AUGGUUUGGACAAUAAAUAAAUGUUAUGAAAACAAUAGGUUUGAAAAGCUCAAUGCAAGCAGAAGUGCGCCAACUGUUUUGAUCAGGUGUCCGCGGCAGCGACACCGAACACACCUCCUUCCACAACCGAAAGAGAAAGUUGGAAGUCAAAAUAGUGAAGCGAUCUCAAACGACCUUUCACAUCGAUCCGCAGCAUUACAGCACUGCAGACAUCAGGGACUGGUACAACUAAAAAUUAUGGAUGCAAGCAGAGAUGACAUGGAGGAAGAGGAGGAGAGUGACGAGUUUCUGCUGCUUGAAGAAUACUGCGCUCGGCAGGAGAAGCUCAGGUUACGUCGUUCUGGCGUUGGCGUAGGCAAACCAUACCUACAAUCUGGCUGGCAUUCAAAAGGCACAGGCUUGAAACGAUCAUCAAUUUCAUCAGAUUUGGUGGAGAAACUCGUGGUGUUGUUGAAAAAAGAAGGAGACGACAUGAAUCAGAAGAUCCAGCAGAACGAGGUGCUGCAGCAGCAGCUCCAGGGAGCCUUCAGCUACUCCCUGUUUCAGAGGUUGGUGGCCGCACUGCAGGGGGCCCGCCCUGUGGGCUCAGCGGCCCCGGGCGGGCCCCCUGCCCCCCCGGCCCCCCCGCCCCCCCCGCCCCCCCCGCCCCCCCCCGGCCCCCCCGGCCCCCCCGGCCUCUGA
rnacentral:lncRNA from 1 species